rnacentral:rRNA from 1 species
CCUACGGGGUGCAGCAGUGAGGAAUAUUGGUCAAUGGACGAGAGUCUGAACCAGCCAAGUAGCGUGAAGGAUGACUGCCCUAUGGGUUGUAAACUUCUUUUAUAUGGGAAUAAAAUGUUCCACGUGUGGGAUUUUGUAUGUACCAUAUGAAUAAGGAUCGGCUAACUCCGCGCCAGCAGCCGCGGUAAUACGGAGGAUCCGAGCGUUAUCCGGAUUUAUUGGGUUUAAAGGGAGCGUAGGUGGAUUGUUAAGUCAGUUGUGAAAGUUUGCGGCUCAACCGUAAAAUUGCAGUUGAAACUGGCAGUCUUGAGUACAGUAGAGGUGGGCGGAAUUCGUGGUGUAGCGGUGAAAUGCUUAGAUAUCACGAAGAACUCCGAUUGCGAAGGCAGUUCACUGGACUGCAACUGACACUGAGGCUCGAAAGUGUGGGUAUCAAACAGGAUUAGAUACCCUUGUAGUC